rnacentral:rRNA from 1 species
AACGAACGCUGGCGGCGUGCUUAAUACAUGCAAGUCGUGCGAGAAAUCCCGGGCUUGCUCGGGAGAGUAAAGCGGCGAACGGGUGCGUAACACGUGGGCAACCUGCCCUCGGGUUGGGGAUAAGCCUUCGAAAGAGGGUCUAAUACCGAAAACAUCACUUUAAGGCAUCUUUUAGUGAUUAAAGGUGGCUUCGGCUAUCGCCUGAGGAUGGGCCCGCGGUCCAUUAGCUUGUUGGUAGAGUAACAGCCUACCAAGGCUGCGAUGGAUAGCCGACCUGAGAGGGUGAUCGGCCACACUGGGACUGAGAUACGGCCCAGACUCCUACGGGAGGCAGCAGUAGGGAAUUUUGCGCAAUGCCCGAAAGGGUGACGCAGCAACGCCGCGUGUGGGAUGAAGCUUCUUGGAGCGUAAACCACUGUCAGUUGGGACGAAAUGCCUAUACUCUAACAUAGUUUAGGUUUGACGGUACCUUCAGAGGAAGCUCCGGCCAACUCCGUGCCAGCAGCCGCGGUAACACGGGGGGGGCAAGCGUUGUUCGGAAUUACUGGGCGUAAAGGGUACGCAGGCGGGAAGGCAGGUCAGAUGUGAAACCCCAUGGCUCAGCCAUGGGCCUGCAUACGAUACCACCUUUCUUGAGUAUCGGAGAGGAAAGCGGAACUCCUGGUGUAGCGGUGAAAUGCGUAGAUAUCAGGAGGAACACCCGUGGCGAAGGCGGCUUUCUGGCCGAAUACUGACGCUCAUGUACGAAGGCCGGGGGAGCAAACAGGAUUAGAUACCCUGGUAGUCCCGGCGGUAAACGAUGGGUACUAGGUGAUGGAGGAGUCGACCCCUUCAGUGCCGCAGCUAACGCAUUAAGUACCCCGCCUGGGGAGACGAUCGCAAGGUU